UGUUACCGAAAUAUCAGGUCUGCCUAGAUGAGAGCCAAUUAACAGCCUGAAAGGGAUAAGGAAAAAUGCUUUAUUCUGCAGAAAAAGGAGAGCCUGUACCUGGGUACAAAAGACUCUGUCUUACACAAACUUCACAAACCUUUCAUACACAUUCAGACAAAAACCCUUGUGUGUUAAUACUUGAUUGGCUAUGGAAUAAUG